rnacentral:tRNA from 2 species
GCUCCUAUAGCUCAGUUGGAUAGAGUGGUGGACUUCGAAUCCAUAGGUCGCAGGUUCGAACCCUGUUGGGAGCACCA